rnacentral:rRNA from 1 species
CCUACGGGAGGCUGCAGUGGGGAAUAUUGCACAAUGGGGGAAACCCUGAUGCAGCGACGCCGCGUGAGUGAAGAAGUAUCUCGGUACGUAAAGCUCUAUCAGCAGGGAAGAAAAUGAUGGUACCUGACUAAGAAGCCCCGGCCAACUACGUGCCAGCAGCCGCGGUAAUACGGAGGGGGCAAGCGUUAUCCGGAUUUACUGGGGGUAAAGGGAGUGUAGAGGGCAGCACAAGUCUGGAGUGAAAUCCCGGGGCUUAACCCCGGAACUGCUUUGGAAACUGGGCGGCUGGAGUGCAGGAGGGGUAAGCGGAAGUCCCAGUGUAGCGGUGAAAUGCGUAGAUAUUAGGAGGAACACCGGUGGCGAAGGCGGCUUACUGGA